UUCCUCAAAUAAGUGGACUAUCUAUUUAAGUCAAUUUAUUUAAACCUAAAAAGAACGCCCAUCGUCCUCCAUAGCCCCACCGGCAUACACCCAGCCUCAACCAACCCCAAGACCUUCCCCAGGUCUCCAAUCGAAACCAUCGCUCCCGCCUGCCAGUAGAACCGCUAGAUCCGCCUCUCUGUCGUCUCCACUGCCGCCGCUCCAGUUGAGUAAUACUGCGUGGUAUGGAUGCUGAAGUCGACCAUUAUGCUGUUUUGGGCCUCCCUUCCGGUGAGGAAGGCGCCAGGCUUUCAGAGCAAGAGAUUAGCAAAGCCUAUCGAUCAAAAGCCAGGGAGCUGCAUCCGGACAAGAGACCAGAUGACCCUAAUGCACAUGCUGAUUUUUUAAAGCUUCAAACUUCAUAUGAAGUUCUCAGGGAUGAAAAGGCUAGAAAGUUAUUUGAUGAUCUACUUAGAGUGAAACGGGAGAAGCUUCAUCGCCAAGGACAACAAGAUUCCAAGCGCCGCAAGAUGAUGUCAGAUCUUGAAGAAAGAGAGAGAUCUGCCUUUGCUGUUGACCCCAACAUGAAAGCUCGAGAAGAGGAAGAGAGAAUAUCUCGGAAACUAAAGGAGGAGAUAGCUAGAAUUCGUGCAAUGCAAGCCAACAAAACACCAGCCGCUGCAACACCUUUCAAGCAAGAUACAAAAGAAAAGGGGAAAGAUAGUAUGGAUGGUGGAGGUGGUAAUGGAUUGGAUAAGGAGAAGGUUCUCAAGAUUUCAUGGGAGAAGAUUGGUGAAGACUACUCGGCGCAUAGACUUAGAGCAAUUUUUGAGAAGUUUGGUGCUGUAGAAGAUGUAGUCAUCAAGAGUUCCAAGAAGAAAGGAUCAGCUCUUGUAGUAAUGGCAUCUAAGGAUGCUGCUGUUGCUGCUACUGGGAAUGUAUUGGGCGAUCUUUCAAAUCCUCUCCUAGUGUUACCUCUUCAACCCGCUUCGUCACCGGUAAUUUUUAGUGCUGAGAAGAAUGACUCUGAUGGUCCAAAAUUGAGCAAGCUGGUUGGUGCUGGAUAUCAGGCAUUUGAAGAUUCAGUACUUGAAAAAUUGAAAAAGGCUGCUCAGAGGCAAAAGUGACUUGUUAAAGAAUCUUGGAGAGGUGUAAGGAGAGCAUUUUGUAGCAUCAAUAGAAGGGUAUAUGUAUGUAACAGUAUAAAGAGAUUCACACUUGCUUUCUUCGAAAAAUUUACAGUGUUGCAGCAUCAUGUUGAUCGAGCUCUUUCGGGGUAUGCUCCUCCAAUGCAAUUUCAGGUUAUCCUGUGUUCCUCCAAGUACACCCGGAAACAGACACCCAAUCUGUUGCUUGUGAUGCCAUACUCCACAAGUUGCUCGUUAUUGCAUACAUCAAGUGCACCAUGUGCAACCUGAGUUGGGGAGUGAAGGAACUCAUGCUCUCCACAGCUCUUCAUGAUCUGCAAGCUCUGCCACUGUCAUCGUUACAUUCAGUGAAAAAGACGCGCACUUAGAGCCAUUACUUUUUCUUAUAUCGCAAUUGUUCGUUUAAGUGAAGUAACGUAUUCUUCACUUGUAAGCUCACUCAUAGUCGCUGUUUCACUUGUACCACCUUUGUAAGUAGAAUAGCACUUUUCAUUAGUUAGCUUAGUUAGAGGUGAGUUAGAACUAACUAAACAUUGUUAACAGUAGUUAAUCCGUUUCACUUCUGCCGCUGAAUUUAAAAAGGAGCCUGCAUCACAGCUUUGGUGAUACAGGAAUUCAUUCUCCAACAAUGGCUUCUUUCACUUUGUUUCUUGUUUUUGAGUUGAGAUUUGUCAGAAAAACCAUCAACUGUGUACUGGAGUGUUUGUGCAGUGGAAUGGAGCAGAGAAAGAAGCUGAAGGAAAGUGGAAUAAUUGUGGGGAUUGGGUUAAGAUGAGAUUUGAUGGUGUGGAAAAGUAUUGUGCAUAAAAGAAUAGAAGAAUAUAGGAAGGUAUGAAGAUUCUCUGAGCAAAUAUCUUAUGUUGAUCAUGUCACAUGUACAGGAGAUUAGGGAUCAAAUAUUAUUGUUUCUGUUAGCUUAACCACUACGUAAAUUCAUCUGCAAAUCAAAAUUCGAGGAAGUAGUUUUUGAGCAGGGAUGUGGUGGGGGCAGGGGGGGCCCACUGUUUCAACACGUGUUCCAUGGACCCCACUUCCCCCACUCACCUAAAUCACUAGUACUACUCGCUCGCACUCUCCCUUCUCCUUCUUCCCCGCGCGCGCGCACACACAUUGUUUGGUAAUUGUAGUAAUAUAAUCCUCCUAAUAGGAAAACACAGUCUCUGAAUUGAAUUCAUCAUUCACCCCUUAAUACUUUUUAUCUUUCCGAUUGUAUUAUGGGAAACUACUUCAUUAAACCCCAUAAUUUCGGCUGUAAUCAUCCUGCCUUCCCAUUACCAAACCCCAUUAGCAACCACAAAAAGUGCGCCAACUCCAACCACCAUAUAGAGAUGAUUGGUUUGCAGAGUAAGAGCUACACCAGUCUCAAGGACUUGCUCCACGACUCUCCCCCUUGGACGGCCUCUCCCACCAGCAGCUGGCGCGAGAUUCCCAUCAAGGAUCCUUUGCUGCAGCACGCGGCGUGGGCCUACCUGCAGCCCAUCGGGGCGGAGCUGGAGGAACACCAUCGCUACCGGUGGAGUAGAUUGACGGAGAGUUGCUGCGGUUGCCUCAACGGCGUCGUCUUGAUGUUUCUCCGAGCAAGGGAGUGAAAGAUUACAGGUGGAUAAUGGUGAAGAAGUCGAUUGACAAAAGAGAAUAGCGGCUUUUUUUUGUUUAAGCUCUGUUCACAAAAGAAUAAUGUCUGUAGGCUGUACAGUACAUGCAUACACACACAGUAUUGGUAGGAUUGAAAUUUUGAGAAAGAUUUGAAGUUGUUUGUAUGAUAGAAACAAUACAGAUUUGUUGUUA